rnacentral:lncRNA from 1 species
GGUCCUACUACUCUCAUUGUAUCAAGGACUUCCCAAAAGUUCUACCUGUAGAAAAAGAUGGGCCAAAAGAGGAAAUUGACCAAAACCCCAACAUGAGCCUGGCACAGGACCUCAGGUCAGACCUAUUGUCUGGGAAUCCCAUUUCUUGGAGGCAGUUCCCAUUUAUUUAAAAGGCCUCUGAAGACCCACUUUUGAACACGUUCCUCCAAGCUAAAAAUUCACCAGUAAAUAAAAAAGACCAGUCUACCUAGUAGCAAGCAUUUGCUAAGAACCUACUCCCUGCUGGGCUGAGGGGACAAAAAUACCAAAGUACCUAGUCCCUGCCUUCAAGGAGCAGCCAGGGGACAUCGUGGCUGGAGUGCUGGACUUGGGGUUGGAAAGAACUGAGUUUGACUUCUACCUCAGACAGUCAUGAGCUCUGUGACCCUGGCAAAGUCACUUAAACCCUUUCUUACUCAGUUUCACUAUUUGUAAAAUGGGGAUAAUAAUAGCACCUACAUCCUAGGAUUAUUGUUGGGCUCAAGUGAGAUAAUCUGUAAAAUCCUUUGCAAAGCUUAUAUGCCAAUGCAAAGCAAUGCACAACUGUGAGCUAUUGGCAGGGUAUUUAUAAAAGUCAGGGAAACUGAUGAUCCCAUAANNNNNNNNNNNNNNNNNNNNNNNNNNNNNNNNNNNNNNNNNNNNNAAAUCUGUAAAAUCCUUUGCAAAGCUUAUAUACCAAUGCAAAGCAAGGCACAACUGUGAGCUAUUGGCAGGGUAUUUAUAAAAGUCAGGGAAACUGAUGAUCCCAUAAUGCAUCCUAUAAUGUCUGAUUUGUGCUGGCUUUAUUUCAUGUGCAUAUUCUUGUUCUUUAGGGUUUUUCAAGUGCAAGGGUCCCACAUUUCCUCUGUGAGAGUAAAAGAGCUGAAAUUGCUGGCUAGGGUAUAGGCACCUGAAUAGAACCAACUCUAUGUGUAGCUAAGCUGGCCCGCUGAGGCCCCACACUCCUUAGCAUCAGAUUCCUUGCCAAAUUUGACUUAUCUCCAUCAAGUCUACAUGCAUGGGUAGAAUCUCAAGGGAAAAUUGUGAAGUCUUCACAGCAAAGGUCCUAU